CCCGCAGCCAUGGCAAAAUGAAAGUACCAGGACUGAAAGAGAACGUGUGUGUGUGUGUGUGUGUGUGUGUGUGUGUGUGUGUGUGUGUGUGUGUGUGUGUGUGUGUGUGUGUGUGUGUGUGUGUGUGUGUGUGUGUGUGUGUGUUUGUGUCAUAUUUCUUGUAUAGAUAACAUACAUUCUUGUCCUUAAAAACGGAAGCUAUAAAACGCAUCAGGUGGGUUUUGGAUCUCUGGUAGUGACAAGAUGGCAGACGCAGAAGAAGAGAGCUUUGGAAAGAGAACCAUGGGGCCCAUGACUUCAGAGCAGUAUGCGAUUCCUGCUAAUGAGUUUCUACUCAUUGGUAAAACCCUAAUGAAUUUGCACAAAUGAUCUCCAUUUAACGACAGCGCUGACGUCCCCCUUCCUGACUCCGGGGCACCUCUCAGCUGUGGCUAUCGGGUUCACGAUGGCAGAUUCCAAAAAUGACUCAGAGGCAAUAACAACGGCAUCCACCCAAAGAGCGACGGGAAGGAGAUUAAAGAGGUUCAACUCUAGCUCCACGGCCUCUACUCCUAUCGCACUACAUCAAGUCUGUCCGGUGAUGUCAGCCUGGCUGCUGGUGAAUGCUAAGCGCCAUGGACAGCUUCACCUCUGAGACGCCUGUCAGAGGGGACGUUGACAUUCAGAAACACAGUGCGUCUCAUCCUAGGUCUGGUGACCAAAGAAGACUAAAGAAUUUCAUUGCCAGCGACAGCUCUGUAAUUGUCGUGUAUAUGACAAUAAAACCAACUUGAAUCUUGAAUCUUGGUGGUGGUACUGCAAGCCUUAACUCUCCUCUCCCUGGUGGGAUACAAGUCGCACACUGGUUGUCGAUGUAAUGCAUGUAUCCCUGGGGAUCCUUGCUCAUUCUACAAUGAUCCACAGUGUGAAUCCGCCUGUUUGUAUAUGUGUCUCAUUGCUGCAUGUAUUUAGUCUGGUUAUGUAUCUCUGUUAUGUUCCUCUCUUGCAUAGCGACCCGUAGAGACAGGUAUGUUGUCAAAGUUUGUUUGGAAGUGUGUAGUAGAAAUUCCAAUAGACAAUGGGGCUAAAGUAAAGUGGAUGACCGUGCUCAGACCGUAGGUUCAUCCUACAGCUGUUCUACAGAGACACCCGCAUGGCAUAAGCCAAUAGUCUGAAAGGGGGCCCAUUUGAGCGCACACAAAGUGUCACCUGAUUGAUUUGGUGAAACUUAACAAAAGUAAAAUGUAAACCUAAAUGGUUCCAUAACACUCAAUUCAAGUAUCAUUCAGCCAUUUACCUCAUGUGUUUUUCCUUUGUGGUUUUUUUUCUGUGUCAUUCUUAUUUGUAUCUCAUGCAAGCAGCCAUGACGACGACGACGGCGACGGGGAGGGGUCAGUGUGUCAUAAGCUCCAGCGCUGGUCCAAUCUAUGGCACUUACCCCUGCCCACAACCCCCCC
ensembl:lncRNA